rnacentral:ncRNA from 1 species
GAUUAUACCUAAAUCCUCUCAUAAUCGCGGCUA